AGUCUUAUAGUCAAUUAAUAUGAUUUUAAAUUGCAAAUUUAAAGGAGAAGAAAUUCUAAGGCUU
rnacentral:tRNA from 1 species